UACGAAGGGGGCUAGCGAUGCUCGGAAUGACUGGGCGUAAAGGGCGCGGAGGCGGCUUACAUAGAUAGGCGUGAAAUUCCUGGGCUCAACCUGGGGACUGCGUCUAAUACAUGUAGGCUUGAGUGUGAAAGAGGGUCGUGGAAUUUCCAGUGUAGAGGUGAAAUUCGUAGAUAUUGGAAAGAACACCGGUGGCGAAGGCGGCGACCUGGUUCAUUACUGACGUUGAGGCGCGAAAGCGUGGGGAGCAAACAGG
rnacentral:rRNA from 1 species